rnacentral:lncRNA from 1 species
GAAGUGUGUGUUAUCUCAAGAGUCUUUCCAAGAGCAUUUGGUGUUGUGUGAAGCAUUUGAGGCAUCACACUUGGGGUGCUAGGCUCACAAGGUUUCAAGGAACACAAGCAACAACAAGGUAAGUUAUUCUAUCUAUGAUUCAAGUUAAAAUUGUUCCCCAUGUAUGCUAGAUAGGAAUAUAACCUUGGAAUUCAACUUUGCAUGAUAAUUAGACAAACAUAGAUCCAAGGUUAUUAGGGUUGCAUGUACACUUAGGAAGUGUUAGAAUGCUCAAAACCCAUCAGUGGUAUCAGAGCCUAGGCUUGUUUGUUUGUUAUUUGUGCUUAAAAGUUGAAGAAAGUCGAAAAUCUUGCUGUCUGACUGAUGGACUCGGCGAGUCCAUGGGGAGGACUCGACGAGUUCAUGUGUAUCUUCAACCUACUCGGCGAGUAGGUUUAUGCACUCGGCGAGUAGGGUCGACAGAGUGCAGAAUUUCGACUUGUGUUGCUGGAAAUGGAUUAGAAUCAUUACCCUAAAAUGUUUUGGUACUUGAAAACUUAUUUUAGAAGGUGUAAUGUCUUUUCUAACUCAUUUACAACAACUAGUUAUCAAAAUUACAAAGAUUAAAUGUGAUUUUGAUUCUUGAAAGUGUUCAUAUUCAUAUUCUUGUUCUUAUGAUGUUUAGAUGAUCAUAGGAAUUAUUUGUAACCUAUGUGGUAGAUUAAUUCAUGAUCAUAAUGUGUUUUAAUGGAGUCCAUAACUUGUCCUCAAGUUAUGGAAAACCAAAAGUCUCUUGGAUUAAAAAACAUUAAAAGAACACAAGAGUUAGGAAAAAUGAAAAGUCCUCAUUUUAUUACUCUAUUAAACUCAUAAGUUACAAGAAAUGAAAAGUUUUGAAAGUUUACAAAACUUGCCCUCAAGUUUUGGAACAAGUAAAGUUAAGUUAAAACUUUAGUUCCAACCCCUAGAAUUUUAAAAGUUAAAAUUCAACCCUUAUACUUAUAUUAUUAUGAUUUAAUAAUUAUAUAUAUAUGUAUAAGAACAAAGUCGUCUUACCGCUAGUACGCCUCAUUCACGAAGCCGGUCUAUAAGGUGGGUAUAAGGUUGUUGCCUAUAAAAUGGUGACUUAAUGGGUGUCCACUCUCACCCACCGCUUGCUUGAUCGGUGGAGGGUCGUUAGCCGAACGGGUAAGACAAGGACUUAUUAAUUCUCAUUCAAAGUAUGAUGAAUAUUAUAAAGUAACUAAAUGUUUUAUUAAAUUCCCAAUCUUAGUUACUUUAGGAAAAAUGUGAAUAAGGUGCUAUUCCAUGAAAUUACACUUUACACUUUGAUUAAGUCGUUGGUGGAGCGUGUGUGGUUAACCGGCACACUAACUUGGACUUAACAAGGUAGGUAAAGGGUGACUUAGGGUUUAUUAUAGUAUCGAUGGAGCGUGUGUGGUUAACCGGCACAUCGAUUGAGUGAUAAACUUUAAGGGUACCAAGUGAUUUGCAUGGUUACUUCACACCUCGUUUUGUGAUCCUCGGUAUCCCAGUCACAAAACUUGGAGGGCACACUCGAGAUUGAAACAUGCCUUUGAAAAGUUCAUUGAAUCUCAAAGAAUCUAGGAAUUUCUAAGAACCAUUCAAAAACCUAAUACUAAAAUAUUGCGGUUUUCGUGGUGGAAAUUGGUGAAUCGUCAUUCACCUACCUUUCAAAUAUGAUAUAGCUUAGAUUACGGCAUACCUCUUCUAAGUUAUAUUAUAUUGUGAUUGGAUCCUAGCCUUAAUAUUACAUUUGGGUGUUUUAUUAAGGACUCUCUUAUAUCUAAACUAAUCUUGUCCUCUUUCCUUCAGAUGUCUUUCAACAAUGCUUCUGGCUCUAAUCCUAAUGGCUCCUUUACCCUUAUGAACUUGUGUGGGAAAGUCACCUUUGAUGGAUCCAACUUCAAUGAGUGGAUCAGAAACAUCAGGAUGAUUACCCGCUACGAGGACAAAGAAUAUGUCCUUGACAAGGAGCUUAAGGAGAUUGAUGAGUCCACUGCAACUCCUCAGGAGAUCGCUGAAUUUCGGGCACAUGAAAGGGAUGCUACGAAAGUGGCUUGCAUCAUGAUGGCCACGAUGACAGCGGAACUCCAAAAGUCUUAUGAGGAUUUCUACCCUUAUGAAAUGCACCAAGAUUUGAUGGAAAGAUACCAUCAAAGUGCAAGACAAGAGAGGUAUGAAAUCAUCUGCUCCAUGAUAACAACCAUGAUGAAGGACGGGGAAUCCGUCACGAGCCACAUGCAGAAAAUGCAAAGGUAUGUGGAUCGUUUGCUGAAGCUUAAUGUGAACUUCCCGGAGGAUCUUGCAAUAGAUAUUAUUUUGCAUUCCUUACCAUCGUGCUAUGAUCAAUUCCGCAUGACAUAUCACAUGAACAAGGAAGAAGUCACCCUCAGCAAACUUCAGGGACUUCUCAAGACCGCAGAAUCAGGUCUUAAGGGGAAGUCGGUUGCUAUCACUCCUACUCAAAACUCUACUCCGGUUUUGGCAAUCGGGAAAAGUCGAGGGAGGAAGAGAAAGAGCUCUUCUAAGGGUACCAAGGUUCGGACCCUUGAUGGCUCUUCUUCAAGUGGAACCAAGAAAGGUUUCAUUACUCCUUCUUCUGACCCAAAAGAGGCUGAAUGCUUCUAUUGCCAUGAAAAAGCUCAUUGGAAGCGGAACUGCCCAAAAUACCAGCAAGAUGUGAAGGAUGGGAAAGUUAAACCCAACCAUGCAGGUAUUUACACUAUCAUUUCUAAUAACUCACCCCAUUCUAAUUCUUGGGUCCUUGAUACCGGGUGUGGUAUUCACAUUUGUUGUGACUUGCAGGGACUAAGAAGAAGUGAGGAUGUGGAGCAAGGAAGGAUAAACUUGAUCAUGGGGAAUAGGAAAGCUAUACCUGUUACCAAGAUUGGAGUUUAUACUUUAUCGCUAAGUAGUGGGUUUAGUUUAGAUUUGAAUAAGUGUUGUUAUUCGCCAGGAAUGGCAAGAAAUAUUAUUUCCUUUCAUGCUUUGUACAAACAAGGGUUUACCUUUUCAUUUAAUAAUGAAGUUGGUUCUAUAGAUGUUUUCUAUAAUAAUGUCUUUUAUUUUAAAGCAUUACCUUGUGAUGGUGUGUAUGAAGCUGUAUCUGUUGUAGAUAACUUGGGAAAUAAUGUUUUGUGUAUUGAUUCUACUAAUAAUAACUUGGAUAAAGCAUCUUUAUGGCAUUGUCGUCUUGGACAUAUAAGCAAGAAACGCAUAGGCCAACUCCAAAAGGAUGGAGUCUUGGAGUCGUUUGACCUAAAGUCAGAUGAUAGUUGCGAAUCAUGCUUACUUGGAAAAAUGACAAAGUCACCCUUCACAGGUUCGUGUGAGAGGGGUGAAGGUUUGUUGGACCUUAUACACACGGAUGUGUGUGGACCAUUCAAACAUGCCACAAGGGAUGCUAAUCGUUAUUAUUUGACUUUUACUGAUGAUUAUAGUAGAUAUGGAUAUGUCUACUUGAUCAAGCAUAAGUCAGAGACUUUCGAGAGGUUUAAGGAAUUUAAACAGGAAGUCGAGAAUCAAUUGGGCAGGAACAUUAAGAUGCUUCGAUCCGAUCGUGGUGGUGAGUAUCUUAGUUCAGAGUUCCUCGACUAUCUAAGGGAAUGUGGGAUAGUCUCACAAUUGACACCUCCCAGGACACCACAGUUGAAUGGUGUGGCUGAGAGGCGUAAUCGAACCUUGUUAGAUAUGGUUCGUUCCAUGAUGAGUCGAGCUACGCUACCAAUCUCAUUCUGGGGGUAUGCCUUAGAGACUGCCGCCCAUAUUCUUAAUCUAGUCCCUACAAAGAAAGUUGCCAAAACUCCUCACGAGAUGUGGACUGGUAAAGUACCUAAACUAGACCACAUCAAGAUUUGGGGUUGCGAGGCUUUCGUGAGACGCGAGACUCAUGAUAAGCUCGAACCUCGAAGCGAGAGGUGUAUUUUCAUCGGUUACCCACAGCGAUCCUUUGGUUACCUCUUCUACAGACCUAGUGACAAUGUGGUCUUUGUAGCAAGAAGAGGAGUCUUUCGAGAAAGAGAGUUUAUAAGCCAAGGAGACAGUGGGAGGCAAAUUGAUCUUGAAGAAAUUCAAGAAUCAAGCGGUGAAGGAACUUCAAACUCUAGCCCUCAACUUGAGGAGGAAACUCCUGUUGAGCCAAUUGACAAAUCUGUACCUCUGAGACGUUCCACGAGAGUUAGGAGUGCACCUGAGCAUUACUAUGGAUUCCAUAUUACUGCAGAAGGUGAGACACUUAUUAGUGAUGAGACACUAGUAAGUCAAGAUGACCCUAACAGCUACGAGGAAGCCAUGGCAGGCCCCGAGUCUGCUAAAUGGAAAGAGGCUAUGGAUAGCGAGAUACAAUCCAUGUAUGACAAUCAAGUUUGGAACUUGGUUGAAAAUGUACCAGGUCGUAAGACAGUAGGGUGCAAAUGGGUCUUCAAGAAGAAGACCGACAUGGAUGGUAAAGUACACACUUAUAAGGCUAGACUGGUUGCAAAGGGCUUCUCUCAAAUUCCUGGAGUGGAUUAUGAUGAGACCUUUUCUCCGGUAGCCAAGAUUAAGUCUAUUCGGGUUCUGUUAGCCAUAGCUGCAUUUCAUGACUAUGAAAUAUGGCAGAUGGAUGUCAAAACCGCUUUCCUUAAUGGAAAGUUGGCUGAAGAUGUUUACAUGAGUCAGCCAGAGGGUUUUGUCAGCAACGAGUACCCUAAUAGAGUGUGUAAGCUUGAGAAAUCCAUUUAUGGAUUGAAGCAAGCACCUCGCAGAUGGAAUCUUUGCUUUGAUGAAAAGGUCAAGGAAUUUGGCUUUUCUAGGAGUGAAGAUGAAUCUUGUGUGUAUGUCAAGGCUAGUGGGAGUAUAGUUAGCUUUUUGGUAUUGUAUGUGGAUGACAUACUACUCAUAGGAAACGACAUUCCAACCCUGCAGGAAGUAAAGUCCUGGCUUGGGAAGUGUUUCGCUAUGAAGGACCUUGGUGAAGCUGCCUAUAUUCUAGGGAUAAGAAUCUUGAGAGAUCGGAGUAAAAGACUAAUUGGACUUAGUCAGAGUACCUACUUGGAUAAGGUGCUGAAGAGAUUCAGCAUGCAGGAUUCCAAGAAAGGAGAGUUACCCAUCCAGAGUAACACCAGAUUGAGUAAGACACAAAGCCCUAGCACUGAGGCUGAGAUAGCAGAAAUGAGUCGAACACCUUACGCUUCGGCUGUAGGAUCGAUCAUGUAUGCUAUGACGUGUACUCGACCCGAUGUAGCUUUUGCCUUGAGCAUGGUUAGCAGGUAUCAGGCGAACCCUGGCAAGGCACACUGGACUGCGGUAAAGAAUAUCCUCAAGUACCUACGGAGGACUAAGGACUGGGUCCUUACCCUCGGUGGGAGUGAUGACUUGAGAGUUGUAGGGUAUAGUGAUGCUAGCUUCCAGACUGAUAGGGAUAAUUUCCGCUCUCAGUCGGGCUGGGUCUUUACCCUAAACGGAGGAGCAAUUUCUUGGAAGAGUUCCAAGCAAGAGACAGUGGCAGAUUCUACUUGUGAAUCAGAGUAUAUUGCAGCUAGCGAAGCAGCAAAGGAGGCGAUAUGGCUGAAGAACUUCAUUGGAGACCUUGGAGUUGUACCAGCUAUUAAAGAGCCAAUGGAAAUUUUCUGUGAUAGUGAAAGUGCUGUUGCCUUAGCCAAGGAACCAAGGGAUCAUGGGAGAUCCAGACACAUCGACAGAAAAUACCAUUUCAUUAGACAUCGGAUCGAAGAAGGACUCCUCGUGGCAAAGAGGGUAUCAUCGGAUGAGAACCCAGCAGAUCCCCUCACGAAGGGACUGAGUAGGGUUAAGCAUCUCCAGCAUGCUCGGAGCAUAGGGCUGAAGGAUGAUAUAAGUUUUAGUAGUUAGAUAACCCAGAAAUUUGUAAAGUGUAAUUGACAUUUGAUGAUGAAUAAAAGGUGUUUUAUUUAUGAGUAAAGUGUUGCUAUCUCUUGUCAAUCGUUUACUAUAUUUCUUUUGCAUGUUUUGACUUCCAGAAUAAUUUUGUUUGGUGUAACAUAUUAUUCAAACCUCCACAGUCGGUCAUAUGUCGGAAGUAGGUAUGAAUCAAGACUGUCAUGAUGGGUUGUAGAGGUCUAAGGUGUUGGACAAGGCUACAACAAUCAUGAGUGCUCAUAAGUUCUGAGCAUUGGACUCAACCCACGCUCACUGGAAUCACUUCAUGGAAUUCUAUCUCGAGUGAUCGUGAGACGGUAAUAUCAUAUAAGUCUUCAAACCUAGAGAUAUGAUUUGUUACUUACAAGUUGGUUAUGCAUUGACUGUACGAAACCGCAUUGGUAACUCGAUGUUAUAAAACGUACUUUUGUGUGUAAUUCAAUGAGUGGUAGAACAAACAUAUGAGUCGAAGUUUAUCUGUUCCUUCUUGGAUUAGAAGCUGAUAUCUGGGCCCCUCGAUGAUUUUGUUUUGACCCAUGUACCGGGCCCGGUCAGAACUAAGUUGAUGUGUUCAAUUAAGUUCUAUGUCAAACAAAUCGGAAAUCGGGAAACAAAUGCUGGACAAUAAGCAAGACAAUGUUCCAUGUAUUUGUCCGGCUGAUAUCUAGAACGGAGGAUUAUAUGAUCACUUAUCUUAAAUGGCGUACCAUCAUCUUCUCAGUUCCGAGAGACCUUGAAAGAGCUACGAUUGCCGGUCGGUUCCUGAAGUACUAGAGAUAUAGUUAUUAGACUUAUCCAAGUGGGAGACUGUUGGAUAAGGUGUCUAAGUCCAUAACUAUUUCGGGCUUGUACUUGACCCGACCCGGCAUGGUCCAUUUGGGUUGCAUGGCACCAUGCAAUUGGAUAGACUAAAUGAGAGAAAUAACACUUGGAGAUUAUUAAUAUAUUAUAAGUUCUAAUAUAUUAAUAAUAUUAUUUGAUUAGUUGAUCAAAGAAUUAAUUUGGAAUUAAUUAAGUGAUCAAAGGAUAACUAAUUAAAUAUAUGGGUUGAUUAUGUAAAUCAUCCAUAUCUUGUAUAGUGGGCUAAGAGGCUCCAUGGAUUAUCAAGUUGGGUUCUACCCAUAGGAUGCUCCAUGGAUGCUCCAUGGGAGUUACAAACCCAUGGGUCAUGGAAAUGAAGAGUCAUGACACAUUAGGGUUUACAUGGUGUAACCCUAGAUGUGUCAACACUAUAUAAGAAUCAUAUUCUCCACCAAAAUCGGCUACACUAAGAAACUAGAGGGCUUGGCCGAUUUUGAGAAGUGUGUGUUAUCUCAAGAGUCUUUCCAAGAGCAUUUGGUGUUGUGUGAAGCAUUUGAGGCAUCACACUUGGGGUGCUAGGCUCACAAGGUUUCAAGGAACACAAGCAACAACAAGGUAAGUUAUUCUAUCUAUGAUUCAAGUUAAAAUUGUUCCCCAUGUAUGUUAGAUAGGAAUAUAACCUUGGAAUUCAACUUUGCAUGAUAAUUAGACAAACAUAGAUCCAAGGUUAUUAGGGUUGCAUGUACACUUAGGAAGUGUUAGAAUGCUCAAAACCCAUC